rnacentral:rRNA from 1 species
GAUUCCAUUUAUUGAAUAAACCUGGUGGGUUGUCGCUGGCUCCUUGGAGCAUGUGCACGCUCAUCAUCUUUAUCCAUCCACCUGUGCACACUUUGUAGUCUUGGGAGAGAUGAGUGUCUUUGCUCUGUCGGGUGACACACCCGGAUGUGAGGACUGCUGUGCACACACCGUACAGCUUUACCUCUGCGCAUGUCUUCUUCUGCCCAGGUCUAUGUGGUUUCAUACACCCCAAUAGCAUGUCAUAGAAUGUAUUCAAUGGGCCUAUGUGCCUAUAUAAAACUAUAUACAACUUUCAGCAACGGAUCUCUUGGCUCUCGCAUCGAUGAAGAACGCAGCGAAAUGCGAUAAGUAAUGUGAAUUGCAGAAUUCAGUGAAUCAUCGAAUCUUUGAACGCACCUUGCGCUCCUUGGUAUUCCGAGGAGCAUGCCUGUUUGAGUGUCAUUAACAUAUCAACCCUUCUAGCUUCUUUGGAGGCUGGUUUGUGGCUUGGAUGCUGGGGGUUUUGCUGGCUUCUCAAGGUCAGCUCUCCUGAAAUGCAUUAGCGGAACCGUUUGCGGGUCUGUCACUGGUGUGAUAAUUAUCUGCGCCAAAGUCAGAUGUGCUCUCUGUGUGUUCAGCUUACAAUAGUCCCAUUCACUGGGACAAACUUAAUGAAUGCUUGGCCUCAAAUCAGGUAGGACUACCCGCUGAACUUAAGCAUAUAAAACGGGAGAAAAAGAAGAAUA